GAAGUAUCUCAUCCAGUCGCUGUCGACUUGUCGAUGGAGGAAAGUCCGGGCUCCGCAGGGCAGGGUGCAGGAGAAACUCCUGUGGGUGCGAACCUAAGGAAAGUGCCACAGAGAAAAUACCGCCAGAUGUAGCGUCUGGUAAGGGUGAAAAGGCGAGGUAAGAGCUCACCGGACGCGCGGCGACGCGUGUGCCUGGCAAACCCCACCUGGAGCAAGAUCGAAUAGGGGAGGUCGAGGCUGCCCGCUGACUCCCGGGUCGAUCGCUAUAGGGCAGUCGUAAGGCUGUUCACAGAUAAAUGACUGGACACGACAAAACCCGGCUUACGAGAUGCUUCCGCU
rnacentral:RNase_P_RNA from 1 species